rnacentral:rRNA from 1 species
GGGCCCGCACAAGCGGUGGAGUAUGUGGUUUAAUUCUGAUGCACGCGAGAGCUUACCGAGGUUGACAUCCUGCGAAUCUCAGUUGGAAACAGGGAGAGGUGCCUUCGGGAACGCAGUGACAGGUGGUGCAUGGCUGUCGUCAGCUCGUGUCGUGAGAUGUUGGGUUAAGUCCCGCAACGAGCGCAACCCACGUCUUUAGUUGCCAGCAUUUAGUUGGGCACUCUAGAGAGACUGCCGGUGAUAAACCGGAGAAGGUGUGGAUGACGUCAAGUCAUCAUGCCCCUUACAUCUGGGCUACACACGUACUACAAUGCUACGGACAAAGGGCAGCAAGUUCGCGAGGACAAGCAAAUCCCAUAAACGUGGCUCAG